CUACGGGUGGCUGCAGUGGGGAAUAUUGGACAAUGGGGGAAACCCUGAUCCAGCAAUGCCGCGUGUGUGAAGAAGGCCUGCGGGUUGUAAAGCACUUUCGGUUGGGAGGACUGCUUCUAGCACUAAUAUUGUUGGAAGUUGACGUUACCUUCAGAAGAAGCACCGGCUAACUCCGUGCCAGCAGCCGCGGUAAUACGGAGGGUGCGAGCGUUACUCGGAAUCACUGGGCGUAAAGGACGCGUAGGCGGCUAGAUCAGUCGGGUGUGAAAGCCCCGGGCUUAACCUGGGAACUGCAUCCGAUACUGUCUAGCUUGAGUACAGGAGAGGAGAGUGGAAUUCCACAUGUAGCGGUGAAAUGCGUAGAUAUGUGGAGGAACACCAAUGGCGAAGGCAGCUCUCUGGCCUGAUACUGACGCUGAGGCGCGAAAGCGUGGGGAGCAAACAGGAUUAGAUACCCCUGUAGUC
rnacentral:rRNA from 1 species